UUUAAGCACCAAUGGAUUUCAC
rnacentral:siRNA from 1 species